rnacentral:rRNA from 1 species
AGAGUUUGAUCCUGGCUCAGAUUGAACGCUGGCGGCAGGCUUAACACAUGCAAGUCGAGCGGAGAUGAGGUGCUUGCACCUUAUCUUAGCGGCGGACGGGUGAGUAAUGCUUAGGAAUCUGCCUAUUAGUGGGGGACAACAUUUCGAAAGGAAUGCUAAUACCGCAUACGCCCUACUGGGGAAAGCAGGGGAUCUUCGGACCUUGCGCUAAUAGAUGAGCCUAAGUCGGAUUAGCUAGUUGGUGGGGUAAAGGCCUACCAAGGCGACGAUCUGUAGCGGGUCUGAGAGGAUGAUCCGCCACACUGGGACUGAGACACGGCCCAGACUCCUACGGGAGGCAGCAGUGGGGAAUAUUGCGCAAUGGACGAAAGUCUGACGCAGCGACGCCGCGUGAGGGACG